GCUUGUCUCAAAGAUUAAGCCAUGCAUGUCUAAGUGUAAAUAAGUCUAUACUGUGAAACUGCGAAUGGCUCAUUAAAUCAGUUAUCGUUUAUUUGAUGAUCUCUUACUACUUGGAUAACCGUAGUAAUUCUAGAGCUAAUACAUGCUGUAAAGCCCGACUCUUCGGAAGGGCCGUAUUUAUUAGAUAACAGACCAAUAUUCCUCGUGUCUAUUGUGGUGAAUCAUAGUAACUAAUCGGAUCGCAUGGGCUAGUCCCGCGACAAACCAUUCAAGUUUCUGCCCCAUCAGCUUUCGAUGGUAGUGUAUUGGACUACCAUGGCUAUUACGGGUAACGGAGGAUUAGGGUUCGAUUCCGGAGAGGGAGCCUGAGAAACGGCUACCACAUCUAAGGAAGGCAGCAGG
rnacentral:rRNA from 1 species